rnacentral:rRNA from 1 species
CGUUAUAUUUGCUAUCUGGAGAUGGGGAGAUAGUGGCGAAAUACUUUUCGCACUGGUUGAUAGCUGGUUAUUCCGGAAAUAUAUUUAAGUAUAGUCCUUCGGUUGAUGGGGUUUACAGUUUGAUAAUUCUAAUAGUAUUCGGGCUGUUUUUCGAAGGGGUCAGCCCCCUCAGGCUAAGCUGAGGGGGCUAUUUUAAAGGAUGGUUAAUUAAGAAUGGAAAGGCUAAGAAGUGGGCUUGAAGUAGUUAUCUUUAUGGAGUGGGUUAAACCACAAAUGAGCCUUGUAUAAUAAAUUAAAUUUUACCUAUCUUUGUGUUGUACGGAAUCUCUUUUUGAAACAAUAAUCAUGGAGGUGAUAAUGUAAAGAUGAGUAGUCGAGAAGUUGUAAGUGUUUUAAGGUCGGGGAAAGAAACGUAAGGUUAUGUUCCGUAUUUUUAAAAAAAGCUAAAGGAACUCGGCAAAUAAGGGGACCGCCUGUUUAUCAAAAACAUGGCUCCCUGAGCAAUAUGGGGGGUCGUGCCUUCCCGGUGAGCUUGCGGG